rnacentral:rRNA from 1 species
GACGAACGCUGGCGGCGUGCUUAACACAUGCAAGUCGAACGGAAAGGCCCUGCUUUUGUGGGGUGCUCGAGUGGCGAACGGGUGAGUAACACGUGAGUAACCUGCCCUUGACUUUGGGAUAACUUCAGGAAACUGGGGCUAAUACCGGAUAGGAGCUCCUGCUGCAUGGUGGGGGUUGGAAAGUUUCGGCGGUUGGGGAUGGACUCGCGGCUUAUCAGCUUGUUGGUGGGGUAGUGGCUUACCAAGGCUUUGACGGGUAGCCGGCCUGGGAGGGUGACCGGCCACAAUGGGACUGAGAUACGGACCAGAAUCCUACGGGAGGCAGCAGUGGGGAAUAUUGCACAAUGGGCGGAAGCCUGAUGCAGCAACGCCGCGUGCGGGAUGACGGCCUUCGGGUUGUAAACCGCUUUCGCCUGUGACGAAGCGUGAGUGACGGUAAUGGGUAAAGAAGCACCGGCUAACUACGUG